rnacentral:rRNA from 1 species
AGUGAACGCUGGCGGUAGGCCUAACACAUGCAAGUCGAACGGCAGCACAGGAGAGCUUGCUCUCUGGGUGGCGAGUGGCGGACGGGUGAGGAAUACAUCGGAAUCUACUCUGUCGUGGGGGAUAACGUAGGGAAACUUACGCUAAUACCGCAUACGACCUACGGGUGAAAGCAGGGGAUCUUCGGACCUUGCGCGAUUGAAUGAGCCGAUGUCGGAUUAGCUAGUUGGCGGGGUAAAGGCCCACCAAGGCGACGAUCCGUAGCUGGUCUGAGAGGAUGAUCAGCCACACUGGAACUGAGACACGGUCCAGACUCCUACGGGAGGCAGCAGUGGGGAAUAUUGGACAAUGGGCGCAAGCCUGACCCAGCCAUACCGCGUGGGUGAAGAAGGCCUUCGGGUUGUAAAGCCCUUUUGUUGGGAAAGAAAUCCAGCUGGCUAAUACCCGGUUGGGAUGACGGUUCCCAAAGAAUAAGCACCGGCUAACUUCGUGCCAGCCGCCGCCGUAA